GAUGAACGCUAGCGGCAGGCUUAACACAUGCAAGUCGAGGGGUAUAGUUCUUCGGAGCUAGAGACCGGCGCACGGGUGCGUAACGCGUAUGCAAUCUACCUUUUGCCGAGGGAUAGCCCAGAGAAAUUUGGAUUAGUACGUCAUGGUAUGUGAGAAUGGCCUCAUUUUCACAUUAAAGUCACAACGGCAAAAGAUGAGCAUGCGUCCCAUUAGCAAGUUGGUAAGGUAACGGCUUACCAGGGCAACGAUGGGUAGGGGUCCUGAGAGGGAGGUCCCCCACACUGGAACUGGGACACGGACCAGACUCCUACGGGAGGCAGCAGUGAGGAAUAUUGGACAAUGGGGGCAAGCCUGAUCCAGCCAUGCCGCGUGCAGGAUGACGGUCCCAUGGAUUGUAAACUGCUUUUGUACAGGAAGAAACACUGGUUCGUGAACCAGCUUGACGGUACUGUAAGAAUAAGGAUCGGCUAACUCCGUGCCAGCAGCCGCGGUAACAC
rnacentral:rRNA from 1 species